GAAUUCGCCCUUAGAGUUUGAUCCUGGCUCACGACGAACGCUGGCGGCGCGCCUAACUCAUGCAAGUCUAACGAGAGAUGAGGAGCUUGCUCUUCAAAUCGAGUGGCGAACGGGUGAGUAACACGUGAGGAACCUGCCUCAAAGAGGGGGACAACAGUUGGAAACGACUGCUAAUACCGCAUAAGCCCACGGCUCGGCAUCGAGCAGGGGGAAAAGGAGCAAUCCGCUUUGAGAUGGCCUCGCGUCCGAUUAGCUAGUUGGCGAGGUAAUGGCCCACCAAGGCGACGAUCGGUAGCCGGACUGAGAGGUUGAACGGCCCACAUUGGGACUGAGACACGGCCCAGACUCCUACGGGAGGCAGCAGUGGGGAAUUAUUGCACAAUGGGGGAAACCCUGAUGCAGAGACGCCGCGUGGAGGAAGAAGGUCUUCGGAUUGUAAACUCCUGUUGCUGAGGAAGAUAAUGACGGUACUCAACAAGGAAGUGACGGCUAACUACGUGCCAGCAGCCGCGGUAAAACGUAGGUCACAAGCGUUGUCCGGAAUUACUGGGUGUAAAGGGAGCGCAGGCGGGAGAACAAGUUGGAAGUGAAAUCCAUGGGCUCAACCCAUGAACUGCUUUCAAAACUGUUUUUCUUGAGUAGUGCAGAGGUAGGCGGAAUUCCCGGUGUAGCGGUGGAAUGCGUAGAUAUCGGGAGGAACACCAGUGGCGAAGGCGGCCUACUGGGCACCAACUGACGCUGAGGCUCGAAAGUGUGGGUAGCAAACAGGAUUAGAUACCCUGGUAGUCCACACCGUAAACGAUGAU
rnacentral:rRNA from 1 species